AUUCCCACUCAGCAGCACAUUUACUAAAAUUGGAACGAUACAGAGAAGAUUAGCAUGGCCCCUGCACUGUGGGUGUUUUAUAUUGUAAAUGGCUUUGCCCUCUGCCA